rnacentral:rRNA from 1 species
GACGAACGCUGGCGGCGUGCCUAAUACAUGCAAGUCGAACGCUGAAGGAGGAGCUUGCUUCUCUGGAUGAGUUGCGAACGGGUGAGUAACGCGUAGGUAACCUGCCUGGUAGCGGGGGAUAACUAUUGGAAACGAUAGCUAAUACCGCAUAAUAGUAGAUGUUGCAUGACAUUUGCUUAAAAGGUGCAAUUGCAUCACUACCAGAUGGACCUGCGUUGUAUUAGCUAGUUGGUGGGGUAACGGCUCACCAAGGCGACGAUACAUAGCCGACCUGAGAGGGUGAUCGGCCACACUGGGACUGAGACACGGCCCAGACUCCUACGGGAGGCAGCAGUAGGGAAUCUUCGGCAAUGGACGGAAGUCUGACCGAGCAACGCCGCGGGAGUGAAGAAGGUUUUCGGAUCGUAAAGCUCUGUUGUAAGAGAAGAACGAGUGUGAGAGUGGAAAGUUCACACUGUGACGGUAUCUUACCAGAAAGGGACGGCUAACUACGUG